GAUGAACGCUGGCGGCGUGCUUAACACAUGCAAGUCGAGCGGAAAGGCCCUUCGGGGUACUCGAGCGGCGAACGGGUGAGUAACACGUGAGUAAUCUGCCCUUGGCUUCGGGAUAGCCACCGGAAACGGUGAUUAAUACCGGAUACGACCACUCCUGGCAUCAGGUGGUGGUGGAAAGUUUUUCGGCCAGGGAUGUGCUCGCGGCCUAUCAGCUUGAUGGUGAGGUAAUGGCUCACCAUGGCUUCGACGGGUAGCCGGCCUGAGAGGGUGACCGGUCACACUGGGACUGAGACACGGCCCAGACUCCUACGGGAGGCAGCAGUGGGGAAUAUUGGACAAUGGGCGGAAGCCUGAUCCAGCAACGCCGCGUGAGGGAUGACGGCCUUCGGGUUGUAAACCUCUUUCAGCAGGGACGAAGCGCAAGUGACGGUACCUGCAGAAGAAGCACCGGCCAACUACGUGCCAGCAGCCGCCGUAACAC
rnacentral:rRNA from 1 species